GGAAUCUUGCACCUCUGCAUCCAAAUGAUCACCCAUCAGUACAUUCUGAUUCAAAUAUAAAGUGAAAAAGAUAAAAUCUGUGGAGAAGCUGCGUUCCUGGAGGCUCACGGUUCAUGUAGACCUACUCAUUCCCCCGAGCAUGCUGAGUCCAGCCUUGCAGAUAAAGAAUUUAACCCAGAAAGAAAAGGAGGUUUCCUCAUUCGAAAGUGCGCUGAAAAUACUGCACAUGUGUGAAGCCACAUGCCCUCCACGGUGACGCCUGUUUGGUGGUUUCUGUGAUGCGGUGAGACACACCC
rnacentral:lncRNA from 1 species